UGAGCAAUCUGCCCUUCUCAUCGGAAUAAGCGUUGGAAACGACGUCUAAUGCCGAAUACGACCUCCUUUCGCAUGAUCGGAGGUGGAAAGCUCCGGCGGAGAAGGAUGAGCUCGCGGCCUAUCAGCUAGUUGGUGUGGUAAUGGCCCACCAAGGCGACGACGGGUAGCCGGCCUGAGGAGGGUGACCCGGCCACACGUGGGACUGAGACACCGGCCCAGACCUCCGUACGGGAGCA
rnacentral:rRNA from 1 species